rnacentral:rRNA from 1 species
CGUAGGUGGCAAGCGUUGUCCGGAUUUAUUGGGCGUAAAGCGAGCGCAGGCGGAUUGAUAAGUCUGAUGUGAAAGCCUUCGGCUCAACCGAAGAACUGCAUCAGAAACUGUCAAUCUUGAGUGCAGAAGAGGAGAGUGGAACUCCAUGUGUAGCGGUGGAAUGCGUAGAUAUAUGGAAGAACACCAGUGGCGAAGGCGGCUCUCUGGUCUGUAACUGACGCUGAGGCUCGAAAGCAUGGGUAGCGAACAGGAUU